GAUGAACGCUGGCGGUAUGCCUAACACAUGCAAGUCGUACGAGGGUUUUUAACUCUAGUGGCGGACGGGUGAGUAACACGUGAGAAUUUGCCUUUAGGAGGGGGAUAACAAUCGGAAACGAAUGCUAAUACCCCAUAUGCUUUUGAGUGAAAUGGAUUUAUCCGCCUAAAGAGAAGCUCGCGGCUGAUUAGCUUGUUGGUAAGGUAAGAGCUUACCAAGGCGACGAUCAGUAUCUGGUUUGAGAGGAUGUCCCCCCACACUGGUACUGAGACACGGACCAGACUCCUACGGGAGGCAGCAGUAGGGAAUAUUGGACAAUGGGGGCAACCCUGAUCCAGCCAUUCCGCGUGCAGGAAUAAGGCCCUAUGGGUCGUAAACUGCUUUUGUAUGGGAAAAAAUCAUCUUACGUGUAGGAUGUUGAUGGUACCAUGAGAAUAAGGAUCGGCUAACUUCGUG
rnacentral:rRNA from 1 species